rnacentral:misc_RNA from 1 species
AACGCAUAUUGCACUUUCUGGUAUUCCGGAAAGUAUGCCUGUUUGAGGGUCAGUUAAAUAAAAAUCGGUGUUGUUGCUACUUAGUGGUGAUGCAUCGGAAUUGAGUCUUCUUUUACCUUUUUUUAGUUUAAGUGACUUAAAAUUAUGAACGAUUUUUGAACGUAUUUAAAUUAUUUACGUAUGUUCAUUAUAUCAAAUUAUUAGGUGCGGUCAUCCUCAUGAUUUCGCGUCUAUAAUUUUCAUUAUUUGACCUCAAAUCAGGUAAGAGUACCCGCUGAACUUAA